rnacentral:rRNA from 1 species
AUUGAACGCUGGCGGCAGGCCUAACACAUGCAAGUCGGGCGAGCGGCGGACGGGUGAGUAACGUAUGGGGAACUGCCUGUUGGCGGGGGAUCACUACUGGAAACGGUCUCUAAUUCCGCCUACCAUCAGUUGAACCCAUAUGUGAUUAGCUAGUAGGUAAGGUAACGGCUUACCUAGGCGACGAUCCCUAGCUGGUCUGAGAGGAUGAACGGCAACAUUGGGAGUGUGAAACGGCCCAGAGUCUUCCGGGGGGCAGCAGGGGGGAAUAUUGGCAAAGGGGCACAAGCCUGAGGCAGCCAUGCGGGGGGUAUGAAGAAGGCCUUCGGGUUGAAAAGUACGUUCAGUCGGGAGGCGUUACCGACAGAGGAAGCAACGGCUAACUCCGUGCCAGCAGCCGCGGUAAUAC